rnacentral:piRNA from 1 species
UAUUGAUGUUUUUGCCAUUGUGACUCUCAC